GAUGCCCUUUUUAACUGUAUUUUAGAUAAAUCAUGGAUGGCAGACAACUUCCUGCAGCUCAACAAGGACAAAACUGAGGUUUUAAUCGAUCCUGAAGGCCGGAGAGAGAAAAU